AAAACCCCAUAAAAAUCUCAAGUAAAUCGGUGCAUAAUUCAUUUUAAUUUAAUACGUCCUACACUACAGUAUAUUUCUAUACAUACCAGGGCUGACAUGAAAAAUAGAGGCAUUCUGGCGAGUAAUAUCUUUAGAAAGAUACAAUUUGAGUUGCGCUUGUGGAAUGCAGCAAUAAGUCUUUGAUCUGCAGGAGAUCAAUUUGGUGUUUUGUUAAGCCUAUUUUUCAAAAAUAAUGAAUAAUGAAAAAUUUUAGUGCGGCAGAUAAAUCCCAUGC